rnacentral:rRNA from 1 species
UAACCUGCCCAAGAGAUCGGGAUAACACCUGGAGACAGAUGCUAAUACCGGAUAACAACAGAUGAUGCCUAUCAACUGUUUAAAAGAUGGUUCUGCUAUCACUCUUGGAUGGACCUGCGGUGCAUUAGCUAGUUGGUAGGGUAACGGCCUACCAAGGCGAUGAUGCAUAGCCGAGUUGAGAGACUGAUCGGCCACAUUGGGACUGAGACACGGCCCAAACUCCUACGGGAGGCAGCAGCC